GCUGGGCAGGGUGGCACAUGCCUGUAGUCCCAGCUACUGGGCAUCUGAGGCAGGAGGAUCACUUGAGCCCAGGAGUUCAAGACUGCAGUGAGCCACUGCACUCCAGCCUGGGCAACAGAGUAAGACCCUGUCUCUA
rnacentral:SRP_RNA from 1 species